UCGAACGGAAACGAUGGGAGCUUGCUCCCAGGCGUCGAGUGGCGGACGGGUGAGUAAUACUUAGGAAUCUACCCAGUAGCGGGGGACAACUCGAGGAAACUCGAGCUAAUACCGCAUACGCCCUACGGGGGAAAGCAGGGGAUCUUCGGACCUUGCACUAUUGGAUGAGCCUAAGUCGGAUUAGCUUGUUGGUGAGGUAAAGGCUCACCAAGGCGACGAUCCGUAGCUGGUCUGAGAGGACGAUCAGCCACACUGGGACUGAGACACGGCCCAGACUCCUACGGGAGGCAGCAGUGGGGAAUAUUGGACAAUGGGGGCAACCCUGAUCCAGCAAUGCCGCGUGUGUGAAGAAGGCCUGCGGGUUGUAAAGCACUUUCAGUAGAGAAGAAAAGCCUACGGUUAAUACCCGUAAGUCUUGACGUUACCUACAGAAGAAGCUCCGGCUAACUCCGUGCCAGCAGCCGCGGUAAUACGGAGGGAGCGAGCGUUAAUCGGAAUUACUGGGCGUAAAGCGCGCGUAGGCGGCUUUGUAAGUCGGAUGUGAAAGCCCUGGGCUCAACCUGGGAAUGGCAUUCGAUACUGCAGAGCUAGAGUAUGGUA
rnacentral:rRNA from 1 species